CUUUUACAGAGAAGAUUGAAGAUUUUUUAGAAUCGGUCCCAGAAGACAUCACGGCACAUCGUUCGAUGGUCGACCGUUUGCGCUUCGGAUUCGAAUCUUUUAGAUUUAAAAAGGCGGCUGCUGAUGAAGACGUUGGUGCGUUGUUGGAGGCGGUUCCGGCGGAGGCAGGAGGUGGCGCCGGAGGGAGAGGAGUUCGGUGCCGCUGGAGGAGCGGGGGCUCGACGAAUCGGAGGAGAGAGCCCCCGAAGUUGAGGGACCGUGCUGUCCGUGGUUUUGUUGCUGCGGACGGCUGCGGUUGCCUUGGCCUAGGCGGUGAUCUUCUUCGACUUCCUCUUCUUCACCCGGAUGCGACUUUCUUACCGGAUUCGACACUUUUCACCCGGACAUGACAUCUUUUAACGGACGUGACCUCUUUUACCCGGACGUGACCCACGGACUUGACACGUUUCUUCACCGGACGCGACAUUCGGCCGACCUUUCUUCCCAAACAGCUGUUAUGAGGAUUGAGCUUCCGGUUAGGGUUCGUUAGGUUAGCCUAGGCUAGGUCAGGUCCUUCGCUCUUCUCAUAACACUGUUCGGGAAGAAAGGCUGUCUGAUUAAGGUAAUAAUCUUGACCUUAGGUAAUAAAUGAAUAAACUUCUCGUUUUCUCACUGCCUUUGUGUUUUGUAGGAACAUUUGGGAGGGAGAAGAAUCUCCCUCCCCAACUUUACCACGAAGAGGACCAAGUGGCCAUUUACCGUACAAGUGAAUAUUUUCCGAUGACAUGCCGAAGAUGUUCUUCGAUCACACACAUACACACAUACGCACGUACAUAACACCACUGUACACGAAGAUAUACACCGUUUAACCUUUACUCGAAUUCUCGCACUCACGCACUUACACGUCAAGCGCCUCGUUCUGUGUAAUUCGACACAAUGAAACAACCCGAGCACACGCUUCCCACAAAUCCAGCCCCUGGGUCUCGUCCCGGGAAGUGGAAACGCCAAUUUUAAAGAUUAAAAGACUUUAAAUUGGCGGCCGAAGGGGCUCUGGUAAUUACAAUUUGCACUCAUUAGACAGAAUUUUAGGUAUUCGCUGCAAGAAUCGAUUUGUGAUGACAGCCGAAUCUGAAUUUUCGACACUUUGAAAACUAUUAAGAAAUUACGUAUGUAUGUAACAAAAAUAAGAAAUGGUUUGUUAUCCC